AUUGGACGCUGGCGGCAUGCCUUACACAUGCAAGUCGAACGGUAACAGGUCUUCGGAUGCUGACGAGUGGCGAACGGGUGAGUAAUACAUCGGAACGUGCCCGAUCGUGGGGGAUAACGAAGCGAAAGCUUUGCUAAUACCGCAUACGAUCUACGGAUGAAAGCAGGGGACCGCAAGGCCUUGCGCGAACGGAGCGGCCGAUGGCAGAUUAGGUAGUUGGUGGGAUAAAAGCUUACCAAGCCGACGAUCUGUAGCUGGUCUGAGAGGACGACCAGCCACACUGGGACUGAGACACGGCCCAGACUCCUACGGGAGGCAGCAGUGGGGAAUUUUGGACAAUGGGCGAAAGCCUGAUCCAGCCAUGCCGCGUGCAGGAUGAAGGCCUUCGGGUUGUAAACUGCUUUUGUACGGAACGAAAAGACUCUGGUUAAUACCUGGGGUCCAUGACGGUACCGUAAGAAUAAGCACCGGCUAACUACGUGCCAGCAGCCGCGGUAAUACGUAGGGUGCAAGCGUUAAUCGGAAUUACUGGGCGUAAAGCGUGCGCAGGCGGUUAUAUAAGACAGAUGUGAAAUCCCCGGGCUCAACCUGGGAACUGCAUUUGUGACUGUAUAGCUAGAGUACGGCAGAGGGGGAUGGAAUUCCGCGUGUAGCAGUGAAAUGCGUAGAUAUGCGGAGGAACACCGAUGGCGAAGGCAAUCCCCUGGGCCUGUACUGACGCUCAUGCACGAAAGCGUGGGGAGCAAACAGG
rnacentral:rRNA from 1 species